GAUGAACGCUGGCUACAGGCUUAACACAUGCAAGUCGAGGGGAAACGCCGGGGAAGCUUGCUUCCCCGGGCGUCGACCGGCGCACGGGUGAGUAACGCGUAUCCAACCUGCCUCUGACUUAGGGAUAACCCGUCGAAAGUCGGCCUAAUACCUCAUGGCAUCGUCUGCGGGCAUCCAACGACGAUUAAAGAUUUCAUCGGUCAGGGAUGGGGAUGCGUCUGAUUAGCUUGUUGGCGGGGUAACGGCCCACCAAGGCUACGAUCAGUAGGGGUUCUGAGAGGAAGGUCCCCCACAGUGGAACUGAGACACGGUCCAAACUCCUACGGGAGGCAGCAGUGAGGAAUAUUGGUCAAUGGGCGGGAGCCUGAACCAGCCAAGUAGCGUGCAGGAUGACGGCCCUAUGGGUGGUAAACUGCUUUUAUGCGGGGAUAAAGUGAGGGACGUGUCCUUCAUUGCAGGUACCGCAUGAAUAAGGACCGGCUAAUUCCGUG
rnacentral:rRNA from 1 species